rnacentral:tRNA from 1 species
UUAAGUAAAGCCAAAAAGAGGCUUAUCACUGUUAAUGAUAGAAUUGGGAUCAACCCCUUCUUGAA